CUGGAUUCAUGGUCCAGAGGAGAUGGAGAUACACAGGACAGACUGGGUGAUGGAUGUGUAGAAGAUGAUGAGCAGUUCUUGGGGCAGGUUGAACUUCCUGAGCUGUCUCAGGAAGUACAUCCUCUGCU